rnacentral:lncRNA from 1 species
CCCAGUGGGAUCCCCAGCUGCUGGGAGGGGUGACAAGGGGGGAAGGAAGAACCUUACUGAGCCCUGGGCUCAAUCUUACUGGGGACCUCAAGGAGCGGAUGAAGUGCCCAGGGUGCAGCUGUGGAUAGCUGCCAGCGCGUCCCCAGAUGCUUGCUGCCUGCAGAGCUCAGCCACAGGCCUUCUAAUGUGCUGGGCUCUCGCCUAGACCAGUCUAAUGACUGCGUGUGAGGCCUCCUAAGGAGACUGCCAUUCCCACUUAUGAGGAGACCAUGUACUGUCCACUGGCUGAAGGUCCCCUGCAAUGCCCCGUGCAAGCUGAAGAAGAUCUCCAGUGCCAUGCUCCAGAGGAUGCCCGGCUGGGGUCAACAUCCUUCUCACCCCCACCCAGCUACGAGAGCAUCAUCCUUGCUCACGGGGCUGUUUCUGGAUCGAGUGCUGCGAGCUCCAGCCCAGGUUGAGCUCAGGCUGCGGGAGAGUUACAGAUCUCCAGCAGGCUGUGAAAAUGUUCCCUAACCAGAGAGCUUUGCUUGGGGCCUCCACCAAUACUGGUUCACAGCAGGAACUCAACAAGAGGUUUAUUGCUGGGUGCUGUCUAUGCAUCCGUUGCUGUGUGAGCACUAGUUGGCUUUAAAUAAACCCCACUUGAUUAUGUCUC